CAGCAGCCACGGGAAUACCAGCAGCCCAAGUGGUGGUCGCGAUUAUUGGGCCUAAAGCGCUCGUAGCCGGGCCGGUAAGUCCCUUGUGAAAUCGGACGGCCUAACCGUUCGGCGUGCAAGGGAUACUGUCGGUCUUGAGGCCGGGAGACGUCCGAGGUACUCCGGGGGUAGCGGUGAAAUGUUCUGAUCCUCGGGGGACCACCGGUGGCGAAGGCGGCUCACUGGUCCAUUACUGACGCUGAGGUGCGAAAGCGUGGGGAGCAAACAGGAUUAGAUACCCCCGUAGUCCCUGUCUCUUAUA
rnacentral:rRNA from 1 species